UCAGAUUUUCUUGUACACAAUUAAAACAAAACACACAUUAUGAAACACAUUAGGAUUAUGUAAAGGUGAAAACAUUUAAAGAAGCAACUUUAUGGAAUCAUAGAACAACCUAAUAAUGUAACGUUUCUGGCACUGGAGCUGCUAAUUGCAAUCAGCGCACCUGCGCUGCCUUCACCUCUACCGGCUUAUAAGCCCUGCGCCUCGCAGCCUCCAGUGCCAGAACGUCUCGAGCCUCACGGUGAGAACUUCCAGCGAUUUUUCUGAGAGUCUGUCUGCCUGUCUGCCUGUCGACCCGUUUUGCCCCUGUUUUUUGAGCCAGCCUGAACCCCAUUGGAUUUGUCUGCCCGCCUGAGUUCUGUUCUUCAGCCUCAGUGAUUUGGACUGCCUCCCUGUGUUUCGGACCCUGCCAGCCUGUAAGUUUCUGAGAUUGCCUACUCUUUGAUUAUUGUGAUUCUGGAUUUGGAUUUGGACCUGGACCUGGACCCGUCUCUGGAUUCUCCCUCGGAAACCUCUGCUGGAUUAAACGGAUAUCCCUCCCGUCAAAGAACCGGACCGGACCUGGACAAAGAACUGGAUAGCCCCUUCACGGACCCUGCUGCUUCCUGGAAACCAGACGCUGCUAAAACAAGCCGUCCUCGUGCCCCAGGAACCGCCAGAGGCUGUGUGCUGCCGCACAAACCAGGGGGGUCCGCGCCGCCACCAUCUUUAAUAAACUGUUAAAGUUUUA